rnacentral:rRNA from 1 species
UGGGGAAUAUUGCACAAUGGGCGCAAGCCUGAUGCAGCCAUGCCGCGUGUGUGAAGAAGGCCUUCGGGUUGUAAAGCACUUUCAGCGGGGAGGAAGGCGAUAAGGUUAAUAACCUUGUCGAUUGACGUUACCCGCAGAAGAAGCACCGGCUAACUCCGUGCCAGCAGCCGCGGUAAUACGGAGGGUGCAAGCGUUAAUCGGAAUUACUGGGCGUAAAGCGCACGCAGGCGGUCUGUCAAGUCGGAUGUGAAAUCCCCGGGCUUAACCUGGGAACUGCAUUCGAAACUGGAAGGCUAGAGUCUUGUAGAGGGGGGUAGAAUUCCAGGUGUAGCGGUGAAAUGCGUAGAGAUCUGGAGGAAUACCGGUGGCGAAGGUGGCCCCCUGGACAAAGACUGACGCUCAGGUGCGAAAGCGUGGGGAGCAAACAGG